rnacentral:rRNA from 1 species
GACGAACGCUGGCGGCGUGCCUAAUACAUGCAAGUAGAACGCUGAAGGAGGAGCUUGCUCUUCUGGAUGAGUUGCGAACGGGUGAGUAACGCGUAGGUAACCUGCCUGGUAGCGGGGGAUAACUAUUGGAAACGAUAGCUAAUACCGCAUAACAGUAGAUGCUGCAUGACAUUUGCUUAAAAGGUGCAAUUGCACCACUACCAGAUGGACCUGCGUUGUAUUAGCUAGUUGGUGGGGUAACGGCUCACCAAGGCGACGAUACAUAGCCGACCUGAGAGGGUGAUCGGCCACACUGGGACUGAGACACGGCCCAGACUCCUACGGGAGGCAGCAGUAGGGAAUCUUCGGCAAUGGACGGAAGUCUGACCGAGCAACGCCGCGUGAGGGAAGAAGGUUUUCGGAUCGUAAAGCUCUGUUGUAAGAGAAGAACGAGUGUGAGAGUGGAAAGUUCACACUGUGACGGUAUCUUACCAGAAAGGGACGGCUAACUACGUG